rnacentral:rRNA from 1 species
UACAGAGGAUGCAAGCGUUAUCCGGAAUGAUUGGGCGUAAAGCGUCUGUAGGUGGCUUUUUAAGUCCGCCGUGAAAUCCCAGGGCUCAACUCUGGACAGGCGGUGGAAACUACCAAGCUGGAGUACGGUAGGGGCAGAGGGAAUUUCCGGUGGAGCGGUGAAAUGCGUAGAGAUCGGGAAGAACACCAGCGGCGAAAGCGCUCUGCUGGGCCGACACUGACACUGAGAGACGAAAGCGAGGGGAGCGAAUGGG